UAACAAUGGAAUGAAUGGUGUUACGUAUUAUACACAUCAUAGUACUAGCGGAAGUGGCGUGGGAUCAGAAACCAGUGAUUUCGAUAACGGAGGAAAUGGUUUAACAUACACUCAGCAGACUAAUAACAAUGGAAUGAAUGGUGUUACGUAUUAUACACAUAGUAUUAUACACAACAUAGUACUAGCGGAAGUGGCCUGGGAUCAGAAACCAGUGAUUCCGAUAACGGUGGAACUACUACUUAUUAUAGUGGUACAGUACUAGCGGAAGUGGCGUGGGAUCAGAAACCAGUGAUUUCGAUAACGGAGGAAAUGGCUUAACAUACACUCAGCAGACUAAUAACAAUGGAAUGAAUGGUG
rnacentral:lncRNA from 1 species